UACGUAGGGCGCAAGCGUUAUCCGGAAUUAUUGGGCGUAAAGCGCGCGCAGGCGGCCUCGCGCGCCCGACGUGAAAGCCCCCGGCUUAACCGGGGAGGGUCGUUGGGGACGGCGGGGCUUGAGGGCGGGAGAGGUCGGUGGAAUUCCCGGUGUAGUGGUGAAAUGCGUAGAUAUCGGGAGGAACACCAGUGGCGCAAGCGGCUGACUGGCCGAGACCUGACGCUGAGACGCGACGGCGUGGGGAGCAAACCGG
rnacentral:rRNA from 1 species